rnacentral:rRNA from 1 species
GACUAUGGCGGGGGAGUGGCGGACAGCUCAGUAACACGUAGCUAACCUACCCUUCGGACGGGGACAACCCCGGGAAACUGGGGCUAAUACCCGAUAGGCGUGGAGGCCUGGAAUGGUUCCACGCCCAAAGGUCUGCGCGUCCAUGUUGCGCGCCGACGCCGAAGGAUGGGGCUGCGGCCGAUCAGGUCGUUGGUGAGGUAACGGCUCACCAAGCCUUUGACCGGUACGGGCCGUGAGAGCGGUAGCCCGGAGAUGGGCACUGAGACAGGGGCCCAGGCCCUACGGGGCGCAGCAGGCGCGAAACCUCCACAAUGCACGCAAGUGCGAUGGGGCUACCUCGAGUGCCGUCUGAAGAAGGCGGCUUUUCCACGGUGUAAUGAGCCGUGGGAAUAAGAGGGGGGCAAGACUGGUGUCAGCCGCCGCGGUAACACCAGCCCCUCGAGUGGUGGGGACGUUUAUUGGGCCUAAAGCGUCCGUAGCCGGCUCGGUAAGUCCCUCGUUAAAUCCAGCGUCCUAAGCGCUGGGCCGCGAGGGAGACUACAGAGCUAGAGGGUGGGAGAGGUCAGCGGUAUUUCUGGGGUAGGGGCGAAAUCCUUUGAUCCCAGGAGGACCACCAGUGGCGAAGGCUGCUGACUAGAACACGCCUGACGGUCAGGGACGAAAGCUGGGGUAGCGAAUCGGAUUAGAUACCCGAGUAGUCCCAGCUGUAAACGAUGCAGGCUAGGUGUUG